rnacentral:tRNA from 1 species
GGAGGCGUAGCCAAGUGGUAAGGCAGCGGUCUGCAAAAUCGUUAUCCGGCAGUUCAAAUCUGCCCGCCUCCU